GGUGUAAAAAUUAAGAUUUGAAAUGAAAUUAAAAUCAAAUUUGAAACCAAAAUAGAAGUGAAAUUAUAAUUGGAAUUAUACUGAAAUUUCUUAAAACUAAACCCGAACGGAAGUUUGGUUCCAAUUCUCAGUCCUAAAAGUCAAAGAACCAAAGAUUUGUUAGUGGUUCAGGUUCUUAGCUAGAACAGUACUGGAACUGAAAUCAAACACCCCUACCCAUACUAUUACUCGGGGGUUUUGACCCGAACUAAAGAACCAUACCGAAUUAAAAAACCGUACCGAACUGAACUGAUAACUG
rnacentral:misc_RNA from 1 species